rnacentral:rRNA from 1 species
CCUGGUGCUUAUUCCGGCGAGGCCACACCCGUUCCCAUUCCGAACACGGCAGUUAAGCUCGCCAGGGCCGAUGGUAGUUGAUUCGCAAGGGUCCGCGAGAGUAGGUCGGCGCCAGGU